rnacentral:lncRNA from 1 species
GCAAUAUUUCAAUGUGCCAAAUAAAAAGUAAAACUCAUAUAUAUUUUUCAAAGUGAGGUCCAAUAAAUGGGUCACACAUCUUAUUUGAAAAGCUUGCGUUUAAUUUUCAAGUUUUUGCAAUGCUUUUAUUUCCUUAGUUAUAUGUAAUCAACAAAUAAGCUUUUUUUUGCUUUUAAAGAUGUGGAGAUGGCUGGCUGACAUCAUAGGAUACUCAGAAAUGAACUUGGGGUUAAGACAACAACAUAUUGACAUAAUCAUGAUGUCUGGAGGUGUCGCCAUUUGGAAACCAUAUUUCAACAUGCCUGGAGUCAAAGAAGCAACCAGCUGCAGACAAUGGAGUAGAAGCACGUCCUUGGUAAAAUGAUGGAGCUGUACCAACUCUGGACUGCUAACCUCUGGACUUCCUUGUAUUUAAGGAACAGGCUGACCAGAGGUAGGAAACACACCUAAAAGGUAUCCAUCAUGACUAGCAGACGAAUGGAACAAUUGGAACAAUGUGAUGCCCGGAGCCCAUCGCUCCUGGAGACCAACAUCCCUGGAUCCUCUCCUUACUGCCCAUUUUCCCUAUGUAACUGCCUCAAGAUUCUGCAAUUCUUGAAGAUGGUUUUUGUUUUGAGACAAGACUCUACCAUCUUCCCUAUUAUGCUGGUUAACUGAAUUAAAACU